UACAGAGGUCCAAGCGUUGUUCGGAUUCACUGGGCGUAAAGGGUGCGUAGGUGGCGCUUGGUAAGUUUGAUGUGAAAUCGUCCGGCUUAACCCGGAAAUGGCAUUGAAUACUAUUGAGCUGGAGGUUUGGAGGGGGACUGGAAUUCUCGGUGUAGCAGUGAAAUGCGUAGAUAUCGAGAGGAACACCAGUGGCGAAAGGCGGCUUCCUGGACCAGCACCGAC
rnacentral:rRNA from 1 species